UACGUAGGUGGCAAGCGUUGUCCGGAUUUACUGGGCGUAAAGCGUGCGCAGGCGGUUUUGUAAGUCUGUCGUGAAAUCCCCGGGCUCAACCUGGGAAUGGCGAUGGAGACUGCAAGGCUAGAAUCUGGCAGAGGGGGGUAGAAUUCCACGUGUAGCAGUGAAAUGCGUAGAGAUGUGGAGGAACACCGAUGGCGAAGGCAGCCCCCUGGGUCAAGAUUGACGCUCAUGCACGAAAGCGUGGGGAGCAAACAGG
rnacentral:rRNA from 1 species